GAUGUUCCCAGGACGAGAGCCGAGGCCGCCCGGCCGGAGAGCGCCGCUUCCGCCCGGCUGGGGAGGGCCUCCCCUCCCCCUCCGGAGAGGCGCCGUCCUCGGGCCGGCUCGGGUCCCGCUCGUAAUUCAGGAAUCGGAUGAGUCUCUGUAGUUUGUUUUGCCCUGAAGAGCAGAAGGCUUCGGUCCCAGCUGGUGUUGCCAAAGCAGCAUACUAAUUCCAUGCCAUGGUCCUGGGUCAAGAUCUGCACAAUCUGAUUGGCCAUAUCACCUCGGAUGGCAAGGGAACGGAAGUGGUCAAAAUCAUGAAGACCCAGCUUCCGGAGACGCCUUGCAGCUGCCCGGUGUCUUAGACCCCAGGGAGGAAGAAAGAGUUCCAAGGGCAUAACCAGUGUUCCUUAUCAGGAAGGUGAGGAACAGAGCAAGCACCAUCUUAUAAAAAUCUGCUUUUCAGACUUGUAUGUACCUAGGAAGUUGUUGGAAAAGAUUUUCCACCAGAAUCAGUAGAAAACCGAGAGGGGAGAGGUUCGUGGAAUCCAGAAUGAAGGUUUCCAACAGGGGAGUGUGGUGAGGGGAUUGAUUCCCCAGGAUGGAGCCAAGGGGAGAUUCCUGCAUAACAGCUGCACCACAGAGCUUUGGAGCAACCAGUGCAGGUUAGAGAUGUCAGAAGAUUUGGAAAGAGAAUAUGGUGUCAACAAGAUAAAAUUGAUAGAACAUCUAAUGUAUUUGAACAUAUUGAGAGGAUAUUUACCCACUUAAGGUAGUGAAGAAAAGUUAUUAAUAAAGACAUAGGAAAGUACAUGAACAAACAACUAACAAUGUAAUAACUGGUUAACUUCCAGAAAGGCAAAAUGUUGUGCAAGAAAGGAAAAGUAAUCACCAUAUACCACAUAGUCCAAUGGUUGACAGGGGUUACAGUCUUAAUAUGUAAGCAUUGGAUAUUGAUCAGUUCAUAAUUACUGAUAUAACCAAAUCAGAAGGACCCAGGAAGUGGGUGGAAGAGGGAGAGAGAGAGAGAGUAUGUGUGUGUAUGUGUUUGCAUACACUUGACUUCCAUCUCUCUGUUUGUUUUGAAUACUUCCUGUAUUUUCCUCUGACUGCCCUUUUUAUUUUCUUCAAACUAAUAUAUUUUGCAUGCUUUCAAUAAUGCACACGUAUUAGUUUUAUAGUCAGAAAAAAAGAACCCAACACAGCUUAUUACAAAUAAAGGUCAGGAAUGCUGUAUCCAAGCAUCCUCAGCUCCCCUUUUUAAUUCACUAUGGACUUAGCAUCUGUAAAUUUUUCUAAAUGUUAUUCGAACCUACUUGUGUUUUCAGCAUGUACCACUGCUUCGGCAUAAUGAGUUUCAUAAGGUCACCCUGCAAAGUAUUCUUUCAUAGAAUCAUAGAAUCCUACCUUUUCAGUUAUUAUCUUUCAAAUCCAAGGUGUUCCCUACAGUCAAGGGUUUUGUAAGGUGUAUUUAGGACAAUGGGGCUCAGGCAAGGUCUGUGAAGGGAACAGAAGCCUGGGGUGCUUUGGGGUUAGUGGAGGCAGAGGAGCUGGUGAAGAAGCCAAAAAGAGGAGAUGAAGAACCACCCUCUCUCCCACACACAGAGGAAGACAGAUCUAACUCGCUGGCUCCCUGGUGCCUACAGAAUGAAGUCCAAAGUCCUUAAAUAAAGGCUUUUGAAACAUGAA